rnacentral:rRNA from 1 species
GACGAACGCUGUCGGCGUGCUUAACACAUGCAAGUCGAACGGAAAGGCCCUGCUUUUGUGGGUUUCUCGAGUGGCGAACGGGUGAGUAACACGUGAGUAACCUGCCCUUGUCUUUGUGAUAACUUCAGGAAACUGGGGCUAAUACCGGAUAUGAUCUCCUGCUGCAUGGUGUGGGUUGGAAAGUUUCGGCGGUUGGGGAUGGACUCGCGGCUUAUCAGCUUGUUGGUGGGGUAGUGGCUUACCAAGGCUUUGACGGGUAGCCGGCCUGAGAGGGUGACCGGCCACAUUGGGACUGAGAGACGGCCCAGACUCCUACGGGAGGCAGCAGUGGGGAAUAUUGCACAAUGGGCGGAAGCCUGAUGCAGCAACGCCGCGUGCGGGAUGACGGCCUUCGGGGUGUAAACAGAUUUCGACGGUGACGAAGCGUGAGUGACGGUAAUGGGUAAAGAAGCACCGGCUAACUACGUG